rnacentral:rRNA from 1 species
GAACGCACCUUCGGGUGAGUGGCAGACGGGUGAGUAACGCGUGGGAACCUUCCCUGUGGUACGGAAUAACUUCGGGAAACCGAAGCUAAUACCGUAUAUCUCCUCCGGGAGAAAGAUUUACCGCCAUAGGAUGGGCCCGCGUUGGAUUAGCUAGUUGGUAGGGUAAUGGCCUACCAAGGCGACGAUCCAUAGCUGGUCUGAGAGGAUGAUCAGCCACACUGGGACUGAGACACGGCCCAGACUCCUACGGGAGGCAGCAGUGGGGAAUAUUGGACAAUGGGCGCAAGCCUGAUCCAGCCAUGCCGCGUGAGUGAAGAAGGCCUUAGGGUUGUAAAGCUCUUUUGGCGGGGACGAUAAUGACGGUACCCGCAGAAUAAGCCCCGGCUAACUUCGUGCCAGCAGCCGCGGUAAUACGAAGGGGGCUAGCGUNGUUCGGAAUCACUGGGCGUAAAGCGCACGCAGGCGGAUUGAUAAGUCAGGGGUGAAAUCCCGGGGCUCAACCUCGGAAUGGCCUUUGAUACUGUCUG